UUAAGGGGUAUCUCAUAGGCUAUAGGCAGUCUAUAUGAUAUGAUAAUCUUAUGUAUGAUAAUAGGUUUCUCACAUAUCGCAUCAACGGCGAGCUGACAGGGUAGGCUAUAUAGACUCGUGACUCGGCAGUUUCCUCACUUUUCUAAAGAGGUGUUAACCUCCCUCAGCUCUCGCUUAUUAUUACAGGAAGUGUGGGGUAGCAGUGAUCAACAGUGGAAGGCAGCGGAUCGUAUUUUGUCAUCGAGAAAGCCUCUCAUCACUGAUCUCUAACAUGAAUGAAGCAAAGCUGACCUUCAUAUUUCUGCUGCUGUGUGCUGCUGAACUCAUUCAGGGCUUUCCAGUUACAGCAAGUCAAGGUGGAAACCAAUCAGUGUGGCUGUUUUUCUGCAAGGAUCCAGGAUGUGCCACUAAUGUCACUUGUGUGUUUUGCAACGACAACCUAAUCUGGAGACACAAUCACAUUGCAAAUUGUACAGGGACUCCACCACUCAAUACUGUCUGCCAGCAUGGGGGUCGUGCAUUCGUUUCCAUAGAUACACACGGUGAAUGCGAAUUCGAAGGAAAAGGCAGUUAUAUUAGGACAGCCAAAUGUACAGACCACAGCAACAUUUGUGUUUUCAUCAGUGCUACCACAUCACCACAAGUCACCAGAGAUGCUACACCAAACCACCGUACAAAAAGUGGAUACAUUCUCGGUGGAGUUUGCCUGAAAUAUUUGUCUAAUCAAUGCUAACAAUCAGGGGGUUCUUUCCUGCUAAUAGUAGGCUUGUUUCUGAUUGCACAUUUCCGUAAUUUCUGUAAACAGAGACAAAACAGAGAACAUCACAAUCAACAUAACACAAGUGACUCUGUUGUGACUGAAUCCCUAAGAGAGAUGCAAAGCCCUGGAGUAACAAGUGGGAGUGAUAUUCGUCGUGGGCCUGGAUUGAACGAAAACAGCAGCAGCGUUCUAUCUCCGUGUGACAGUGGAGCUUAAACUCCCGUAACCU